AGGGUGUAAACGCUGCAGACUUGGUGUUGGAAGCCCUUUGGGGGCAUUCAGUGCCGGAGAGAAGUUGUUAAGUCCACCGCCUGGGAAGUACGGUCGCAAGACUGAAACUUAAGGGAAUUGGCGGGGGAGCACCACAACGCGUGGAGCCUGCGGUUUAAUUGGAUUCAACGCCGGACAUCUCACUAGGGGCGACAGCAGAAUGAUGGCCAGGUUGAUGACCUUGCUUGACAAGCUGAGAGGAGGUGCAUGGCGUGUGACUGU
rnacentral:rRNA from 1 species